rnacentral:lncRNA from 1 species
AGUGGGCGUGCAGGAGAAGCUGUAGGUCAGGAGGUAGAGUUGGCAGUGGGCGUGCAGGAGAAGCUGUAGGUCGGAGAGGUAGAGUUGGCAGUGGGCGUGCAGGAGAAGCUGUAGGUCGGAGAGGUAGAGGUGGCAGUGGGCGUGCAGGAGAAGCUGUAGGUCAGAGUGGAGAGGUGGCAGUGGGCGUGCAGGAGAAGCUGUAGGUCGGAGAGGGUGCAGAGUGGAGAACAGAUGAGCUGGAGUCACACCAUGCCCUAUACCCAGCCAGAGGCCGAAGUGAGCCUGUCACGGUAAUGCCACUGCCUGCUUGAUUCCCUCCCAUGCCUAGCCUGGGUUCUUCAUGAUCCCUGAGGCCCUCUUUGAUGUCAUCCCGCUGCCUCAAAACCUGUGUGUGCUGGUGGCUCCCUCUGCUUUCCUUCCAGAUGACUCCUUCGCUUCAGCUCAAAUGUCACCUUUGGCUGUUAAAAUCCUUUCCGGAGGAAGUUGUAAACAAUGCCUACCCCUCCUCCCGA